UACGAGGGGUGCAAGCGUUGCUCGGAAUCAUUGGGCGUAAAGGGUAUGUAGGUGGUCUCAUUUGUCUGGGGUGAAAGCCUUGAGCUUAACUCAAGAAGUGCCCCGGAAACGGUGAGACUAGAGUACUGGAGAGGGUCGUGGAAUUCCCGGUGUAGCGGUGAAAUGCGUAGAGAUCGGGAGGAACACCAGAGGCGAAGGCGGCGACCUGGACAGUAACUGACACUCAACUACGAAAGCGUGGGUAGCAAACAGG
rnacentral:rRNA from 1 species